CACCUGGGAAGCAUCUGUAUUAACAUUGUUAUUCAGGAGAGAGGGACAGAGACACACACAUCUGGGGGUAGUGACAUACAACUGUGUCUCAGCACCUGCUUAAGCAGAAAGAGACAGGGAGUUCUAGAGUCCUAGGUCAUCCUUGGCUACUUAGUGAAUUUGAGGCCAGCUGAGCUAAUUAAGACCCUAUCUAUAAAAGACAAAAUAAUUUGGAAACAAAAUAGUGGUUCAUAAUCCUAACUCUAGUCCUGAUUUUCUUUAACUUGGACAUAACUUAUGCUGUAUUUCGUAAUGGAAUUUUGGUAACUCCCUAAAAUUGUGGAAAUUAUAUCGUUUAUUUAAAUACUUUGAAAAUUAAUGUAACUAUUAAUGUAAGACUAUUCUUAAUAAAUAUAAAUAAUUCUGAAGAGCAAUUUCUUUUAGAUACUAAAAGUAGUUAAUGCAUGUAUCCCAUAGUAAACUCUUCGGGCUGGAGAGAUGGCUCAGCAGCUCUUGGAGAGGACCCGAGUUUGGUAGCUCACAGCUGCCUUCAAGUAACUUCAGGUCCAGGAGAUCCAAUGUUCUCUUCAAACUUCCUUGUAUAUCCACACACACACAUGAAUACAUGCACACAGUCCAUCUAAAAUGUGUUAAUGCUGCUUGAAUACAUGAGGGAAAAAGGCCAACCAAUGCCCAUGAAGCAUCUACAAUUCAAUCAUUAACAUUCUUUCUCAAAUUCUAAUAAAAAGGCCUAUGUUAUGUUUUCAGUAACUAGCUUCUGUCUUUAUAGAACGUCAAAAAAACAAAGGUGGAGAAACAGUAGUAUUAAAGUUGAAAGACUGCCCAUCUGGGGAGGACUUCAAGGCCAUGAUGCCAACAAGGUAAUGUGUCGGGAAAAGUUAAGCUGGGCUUGUUCCCAGCCAAUGCAGCUAACUACUGCUGAACCAUAGUUGUCUUUGGUUUCUACUUUUUGUUUUGUCUUGUUUUUUCCUCAAUAAAGAUAAAUAACCAAAAAGCCUCAUCAAGGUGGAGACUUGUACUGAGGAGGUACUGUUAGGGCGUUGUGUCUGCUAUAGGCCUCCCUCUUUCUGGAUCUUGUACCUAAUCGGUUGUGUUUAGGGAAGUGUAAUUGAAACAUUAGUAUUUAGCAUGCUGUAUGCCUCCCUCGUACAGUACAUCAGUUUACACUCUGAAGGCGUUCUAGAAUAGUGUUGCCUAGUUUAAGGAAAGGGUAUUACAGUGUUCUUCACAACUUAAGAAUUUUGUACCAGUCAGUGGUGUUGCAUGCCUCUAAUCUUAGCCCUUGUUAGGCAGAGGCAAGCAGAUCUCUGAAUUCAAGGUCAGCCUGGUCUAUAGGAUGAGUUCCAGGACACCCAGUGCUACAUGGAGAAACCCUGUCUCC
rnacentral:lncRNA from 1 species